rnacentral:lncRNA from 1 species
GCCGCCGCCCUCCAUCUCCAACACUACCCAUUUCCAACAUACAAUACAACCGACCAAUCCAGUAGUAUCAAGCAGCAGCAGCAGCAGCAGCAGAAGCAGGUUCGUCUUUAAUUAAAAUCUCAAUGCGGUACAGAUUUCCUGAUAAUUGCCAAUUAAGUUGAUGAUUGCUUAUUCCUAAUAUCAGUUGUUGAUUUGGCUGACAAUUUCUCCUUCUUGCAGUACUCUAAAACGAAUCUCCUCUGAUAUUGAGAGGAGCCCAGGAAUUGAGCAGCAGAUGCAAUAGAACAAGAGGAGGAAAUGAUAAAAUGGAUCGUCAAUAUCUGUUAUCUCUCUCUCUCUCUCUCUCCCCCUCCCCAACAAAUGCCAAAUUUGAAGAUGAGUUUGAUAAUAAUAAUGUAUGGGAUAAGCUAUAUUUAUUCGGGGAUAGGGAAUUGUUGGUAUCGGAGAAAGAAAGAAAGAAUGAGGAGAGGAAGAAUGUGAUCAUAAGGGGAUGGAGGAAGGAGGAAAGUUUAAGGCAAGUUAUUUGAAGA